rnacentral:misc_RNA from 1 species
CAAUAUUAAGAGAAAACAAGGUUGUUUCACGCCAAGGGAUUGCAACUUUGCUUGUAUUGCAUUUGUUGCAAUAGUUCUUGUGCUUAUAAAGUAUUAAACAAUACCAUAUAUACUAAGAAAAUUAAGUGCACUCAUCUACACUCAAAAAAUACAUCAAUAUCGGAAAUAACUAGCAGCAAUAUUGUGAAAUGUGACGUCAGAGCACGCAGACCAAAAAUGCAUUAGCGCAACACGUAACCUUGGCCCUGGCAACGUAAUGUACAUAUGUAAAUUACAAGUGCACAAAUAGUAUCCGAUAUAGUGAGUGCAUACAAUAUGGACGCCGACAGCAGCUCACGUUCACCAAGAGUGACAAAAUGUGAAAGUGAUUUGCAAUGGCAAGCCAAAAAGGACGCGCAACAUAUUCGAUAAGCGAAAUGCAGUGAAGGAUGUACUAAAGAGCAUAUUCUGGAUAUAAACGUAUCAAAAGACGCCGACAUAUAAAGCUAAAUACUGAACGAAGCUUCUCUUGUAUGUGUUGCAUUUAGAUACGAGGAGGCGCACGCGUCCCAAGGAGAAGGAGAAAGAGAAGGUGCCAUACUUUGCGGAUGAGGCAAGAGAACGUGAUCGAGUGCGCAA